AGUGAACGCUGGCGGUAGGCCUAACACCUGCAAGUCGAACGGCAGCACAGUAAGAGCUUGCUCUUACGGGUGGCGAGUGGCGGACGGGUGAGGAAUACAUCGGAAUCUACUUUUUCGUGGGGGAUAACGUAGGGAAACUUACGCUAAUACCGCAUACGACCUACGGGUGAAAGCAGGGGAUCUUCGGACCUUGCGCGAUUGAAUGAGCCGAUGUCGGAUUAGCUAGUUGGCGGGGUAACGGCCCACCAAGGCGACGAUCCGUAGCUGGUCUGAGAGGAUGAUCAGCCACACUGGAACUGAGACACGGACCAGACUCCUACGGGAGGCAGCAGUGGGGAAUAUUGGACAAUGGGCGCAAGCCUGAUCCAGCCAUACCGCGUGGGUGAAGAAGGCCUUCGGGUUGUAAAGCCCUUUUGUUGGGAAAGAAAAGCAGCAGGUUAAUACCCCGCUGUUCUGACGGUACCCAAAGAAUAAGCACCGGCUAACUUCGUG
rnacentral:rRNA from 1 species